AGGAGCCCCCAGAGAGCAGCAAUUUAAAUGGACCUCCAGGUAUACAGUAGCUAUAGAGACUCACAUAUAGUACAGCUUGGUAUGAGGUUAUCUUAUUUACAAUUGGCUUAAAGUUUGUCUAUUCAUAUACAGGUCAGGUUGAAAGUGCAUUGUAAAACAUAUCAGUUCGUUUUUUCAGUACAUUAAAGUAUGGCAUAUUUGUUUUUGCUACCCAGAGACACUUUCACUAAUAUUAUACUUAGUUUAUAGUGCGUUUGUUAAACACUAUAUAGCAUGCAUUAUAAGACCUUUAGGAAAAUUACCUGUACACCUUAUUGUAAUUAUUUUUGAUGUUUCUGAAAGAUUGAUCGAGAGCAGGACAGAAGAGUCCUCCCUGAGGAGUGGCCCCAGUGGAUCCCCAGAUUCCCACAGAAGAUUCAGACAGCGAGAGAGAGGAGCCUCCAACAACGAGUGGCGGCCCAAGGUACCUCCAGACAUUUCCAAA